CCACAAGGGGCCUUUCCCACCUUGAUCCCUAAUUGAGAAAAUGCCUUACAGCUGGAUCUCAUGGAGACAUUUCCCCAACUGAAGCUCCUUUCUCUGUGAUAACUCCAGCUGUGUCAAGUUGACACAAAACUAGCCAGUACAGUGAGCUUGCCUUUUUACAUUUUAAAUCCAAUGAAACCAAGCAGUAAUCCAGUUUUGAAAGUGAGCAGUUCUCAACCUGGUCGUUGCAACCCCUUUGGGAUCUGUCCUGCCUGUCAGAUGGUUACAAUUCAUAACAGUAGCAAAAUUACAGUGAUGAAGUAGGGAUGGAAAUACUUUUCUGGCUGGGGUCAGCACAACAUGAGGAACUGUAUUAAAGCAUUAGGGAAGUUGAGAACCACUGGCUAUGUUGAAUAACCAGUAAGUCCCAAGUUCUUUUUUCUUUUGAGUAUUUUGUUUUUGCUCUCUUCCAACUCCUCCCGGAUUCUUUAUACAGUUCUACUAUCCCAACAUUAUAUUCUUUUUCUCUUUCAAAACAAAAAUACCCAUUAAAAACAAACAUCAAAACAAGCAACAGACCAGCAAGACAAAUAAAUUGAAACAAAAAGUCUACACACAAAAAAUAAAUCCAGUUUGUUUUGUGUUGGGCAGCUACUGGGCAUGGGGCCUGCUCUGGAGUGUGAUUGGUAUACCAUGAUCUAUUGGAGGAAACUAUUCUUCCCUUGGCUCCGGUAUCAGUUGCAAAUAACUUCUUUGUUAGGAAUGGGACCUCAUGUCUGCUUUUCCUUCUCAGUGUUGGAAUCCCAUCUGGCUUGAACCUACCCAGGGCUUGUGUGUGCUACCACAGUCUAUAAAUUCAUAUGUGCACCAGUUGUAGUUGGAAGAUGCUGUUUCUUUUGAGUCAUCCAUCACCUCUGACUGUUAAAAUCUUUCUGCCUCAUCUUGUGCAUAAAUUCCUGAGCCCUGAGGGGUAGGGUUUGAUAAAGGCAUCUCAUCUAGGGCUGAGUACUCCAAAGUCUCUCAUUCUCUGCACUUUGUUCUAGUAGUGGGUCUCUGUCAUUUAGUAUUCACUGCAAGGAGCUUCUCUGUGUUAUUUCCAUCUCUUGCAAGAGACACUUCACUCAGGAGGGUUGAGGGAGACACUGACCCAAUAUGUCAUUAGUCACUUUAUUGCUAUGUUCCUUUAGCAAAGUAGUAAUACUAGGUUCACUCCUAGGCUCAUGAUCUAUCUAGUGUCAGGUUCCUGGCCACUUUAAGAGUACCAAGGUAUAGAUUUUAUCUCAGUCUUAAAUCCAAUCAAAAGUGACCAAUCAUUCCCAUAGCACUUUUGCCAUCAUUAUAGCAGUAUACCUAGCAGACAGGUUGCUGUCAUCGGUCUCCGUACUGGCUAGCUGGGUGAUGCUGAUGAGCAUUCCCCAGUAGUGGCAAGAGUACUUUCCAACACCAUCAGUGCUAAUCAGUUGGGGUGAAGCUUCUUUUUGGGCACCAGCUCGACUUCUGGGUUUGAUAACACAGGUAAGUGUUGGUUUUGGCGAUAGAGCCUUACCAUCAGGUCCUGGAGAGGAACUAGUAGCUCUGAGAAUAUCAUGUUAUGUUUGGAGGUUCCCUGGCAUUCCUUUGGCCACCUACUUAAUGUGUAACUCGUUCCUUACACGGUAGAUGUUACUUCAUGGCAUUAAAAAUACCUCCAACAAUUCUGUUAUUAUUCAAGAUUGUUUUAGCUGUCCUGUAUGUGUUACCAUAUAAACUUAAAGAUUGUAAUUUAAAAAAAAAUUGUAAAGAUUUUUUGUUGUAAUUUUGAUGGGGAUUGCAUUGAAUUUGUAGAUUGCUUUUGUUAGGAUGGCCACUUUCACACUACUAGUCAUACCAACCCACUGAUAAGCAUGGAGGAUCUUGCCAUCUUCUGAUAUCUUCUUUGACUUCUUCCUUUAACAUCUUAAAGAUUUUAUUAUUCACAUCUUUCAUUUGCUUAAUUAGACUUAUCCCAAGAGUAUUGUAUUUUUUGAGGCUAUUAUGAAAGGUAUUGUUCCCCUGAUUUCUUUCUCAAUCACUCAUUUGUGUAUAGGAAGGCUACUGAUUUUUGUGGGUUAACUUUGUAUCCCACCACUUUGCUGAAAAUAUUUAUUAGCUGUAAAGGUUGCUGGUGGAUUUUAGGGUAUUUUAUGUAUAAAAUCAUAUCAUCUGUAAAUAAAAGUAAUUGAUUUCUUUCCU
rnacentral:lncRNA from 1 species